UAGACUUGAAGUCGGGAGAGGUUAGAGGUACUACCGGGGUAGGGGUGAAAUCCUAUAAUCCUGGGAGGACCACCUGUGGCGAAGGCGUCUAACUGGAACGAUCUUGACGGUGAGUAACGAAAGCCAGGGGCGCGAACCGGAUUAGAUACCCGGGUAGUCCUGGCCGUAAACGAUGUGGACUUGGUGUUGGAAUGGCUUUGAGUUGUUCCGGUGCCGAAGGGAAGCUGUUAAGUCCGCCGCCUGGGAAGUACGGUCGCAAGACUGAAACUUAA
rnacentral:rRNA from 1 species